rnacentral:piRNA from 1 species
AGAUAAAGGCGUGGACCUCUACGU